ensembl:lncRNA
CCAAAGAAAAUGCAGGCGCUCUUGGAGCUGAGGAGUUAAGAGUGUGAAUAUGGGACUCUGCGUGCGUGAUGGUGAGACGGUACUGCUCUGGAGUGCCAGGCAGAUUCAUGGAAGAAAUUGGGUGGCUGUGUUUUGAUUGUGCACGCCGGACAUGAGCUUGUGAGUUAGUUCAUUCUUGGUCCCGUGCUCCUUCUGUUGGGUAAAACUUGGAUCUGAACCGAGGAGGAGACAAUAGCCGGCUGUACUCCGGCACCACAAGUGAAGAGCAAGGUUGACAUCUUUGUUAAGGUGGAGCGAGGGCAGGAGAGGGACAGCACGUGCACAAGCAGGAACUUGCUCCUCUGACCCACCUUCAGGGCUGGAGCACCAAGUCGCCGGCGCCAGGGCCCACCGGAUUUGGGGAGAGAGAAAGGGAGCGAAGGCUGUCCACGCUGUUGAGCAGAGCUCUGGAUUUACGGCUUGCAGUCGGGCGCCAAGCUGCCCCAUUUCACAGAUGCGUAAAACGGAGGUCGGGUCCGCGGCGCGCCUAGCUCACCAGGAGGCCCAAAGCUCCAACCAGGGCAGAACACUGGGUGGCAACCACCACGGAAGCCCUGCAGCAGCCCCUGCAGUCAACUGUCUCUCCUUUCCCGGUUGUGGGCACAGCACAUGAGGAACAGGACAUGUGUCUACCCUGAGCCUGUACCACGGCUGCACUUUGGGAGCACACCAUUUGAUGGCACAGGUUUACAACUGGAGAGGAAUUUGCCUCAGGGUGAAUUGUAUUUUGAGUUUCAUCUGCAACUGACUUAGAUGAUAAGGCAAAAUGUGCUCCUUGAGGUUCAGGUGAUGACUGACAGGUGCAGACCUCUGCAUGGAGGUGAGGAGGAACUUCCAGGAGGACAGAGAGAGCCUGGUCAGAGCUGGCAUGAGGCCUCUGCAGUACCUGUGUGGGAAGAUCCGAGGCUGAAGGGAAAGCCAGGGCUGAGGGGACAGAAGUGGGGGCAGCUGGUGCCAUGACCCAUCAGUGUCCCAUGGACUAUCCCAAGGCAACUGACUUCUCCUUACUAUCUCCUAUCUGAUCUCAAGUCCUAAAUUGUGGAGAACCAGGCCCUCAGAGAGGCUGCUGUGGCCGGUAAAACAGGGGCUAGGCUGGCUGCUUUCAAAGAGGAGGGCGGCGGGGAUAUGAAGAGCUAAAGAAGCUUUUGGACUGUCCCAGAGACAGAACAAGCCCCUCACACAGGUUUUUUCUUUAGUGACCCCAUUCCGCCCCAUGGAUGUCACUUUUUUUUUUUCUUUUUUCUUUUCCUUGUUCCUUUUCUUUUUCGGCGCUUUCUGGGAGGGGGAGCAAAGCGAGGGAGGUGGGAAGAGACUUUUUUUCACAUGAGUCCUCAGAAUUACAGUUCACAAACUAUUCAGUAAACUGACCGGCCUCAACCUCCCCUUCAACGGCCUAAUCUAAGGGGUGGAUCUAUGUGUUUUGUUGCUUGUCAGAAACAAUCGCGGCGCGGCCCAUUACAUUUACAGCACGUCGCCCUUUAAUUGGUGUAACACGCUGAGGCCUGAAAGGAGGAGAGGCCCACAAAGGCGCCGUGAAUGAGCCUUGACUCACACAAAAACACUCUGCAGAAGUUCAGAGCCGGCCACUAACAAGGAGGGCCGUUCCCUGCUCCUGGGCUGCGUGUUGCGACCUAGGCCCGUGCACAGGAGACCCUGAAGAAGCUGCACCCGAGCGCAAUGAAGACGAGGGUAAGCGCGCCAUGUGGACGCCUUUGCAUCAGGAUGCCAGGAAUUCGCCCACUCUCGGUGGAGGCCACAAGGCCGGCCUCGCUAGGCCCCCUCUCUGCUGCCCAACCCUCGCCUGCCUUCCUUCGAGGGGGCUACCGAGUCUCCCGCGCCAGGGUGGACACCUCCACUCCCCCUUGCCCCCGGGGACGCACCGAGCGCCUGCACCCUCCUCGGCUCGCCCCCUCCCGGCCUUUGUGUGGUGCGGGACCCCGGCCCGCCGCCCCUGUGAACCGCCUGCCCCGCGCGGAGGCGGGGGCACUUUUCAAUGCCUCGCCGCAGCUCCCUCCAGAUUUGUAAUCCGCCAAAAAGCCGCUGAUUGCUGCAAUCGUUACUUUUCAUUAAAAAAACUUAGAAGCAAUUUGGGAGAACUCUUCUCAAUGAAUACAUUUACCCCCGAACGGUCUUUAUUCUCCGCCUCCACUUGAUGAGUU